UACGUAGGGCGCAAGCGUUAUCCGGAAUUAUUGGGCGUAAAGAGCUCGUAGGCGGUUUGUCGCGUCUGCCGUGAAAGUCCGGGGCUCAACUCCGGAUCUGCGGUGGGUACGGGCAGACUAGAGUGAUGUAGGGGAGACUGGAAUUCCUGGUGUAGCGGUGAAAUGCGCAGAUAUCAGGAGGAACACCGAUGGCGAAGGCAGG
rnacentral:rRNA from 1 species